rnacentral:rRNA from 1 species
UACGUAGGGGGCAAGCGUUGUCCGGAAUCAUUGGGCGUAAAGCGCGUGUAGGCGGCUCGAUAAGUCUGCUGUGAAAGUUCAGGGCUCAACCCUGAAAUGCCGGUGGAAACUGUCGGGCUAGAGUCCGGAAGAGGCGAGUGGAAUUCCUGGUGUAGCGGUGAAAUGCGCAGAUAUCAGGAGGAACACCAAUGGCGAAGGCAGCUCGCUGGGACGGUACUGACACUGAGACGCGAAAGCGUGGGGAGCAAACAGG